UACGAAGGGGGCUAGCGUUGUUCGGAAUCACUGGGCGUAAAGCGCACGCAGGCGGGUGGCUAAGUCAGGGGGGAAAUGCCGAGGCUCAACCUCGGAACUGCCCUUGAUACUGGCUAUCUUGAGUCCGGGAGAGGUGAGUGGAACUCCGAGUGUAGAGGUGAAAUUCGUAGAUAUUCGGAAGAACACCAGUGGCGAAGGCGGCUCACUGGCCCGGUACUGACGCUGAGGUGCGAAAGCGUGGGGAGCAAACAGG
rnacentral:rRNA from 1 species